CAGUCGAACGAGAGAAUUGCUAGCUUGCUAAUAAUUCUCUAGUGGCGCACGGGUGAGUAACACGUGAGUAACCUGCCCCCGAGAGCGGGAUAGCCCUGGGAAACUGGGAUUAAUACCGCAUAGUAUCGAAAUAUUAAAGCAGCAAUGCGCUUGGGGAUGGGCUCGCGGCCUAUUAGUUAGUUGGUGAGGUAACGGCUCACCAAGGCGAUGACGGGUAGCCGGUCUGAGAGGAUGUCCGGCCACACUGGAACUGAGACACGGUCCAGACACCUACGGGUGGCAGCAGUCGAGAAUCAUUCACAAUGGGGGAAACCCUGAUGGUGCGACGCCGCGUGGGGGAAUGAAGGUCUUCGGAUUGUAAACCCCUGUCAUGUGGGAGCAAAUUAAAAAGAUAGUACCACAAGAGGAAGAGACGGCUAACUCUGUGCCAGCAGCCGCGGUAAUACAGAGGUCUCAAGCGUUGUUCGGAAUCACUGGGCGUAAAGCGUGCGUAGGCUGUUUCGUAAGUCGUGUGUGAAAGGCGCGGGCUCAACCCGCGGACGGCACAUGAUACUGCGAGACUAGAGUAAUGGAGGGGGUACCGGAAUUCUCGGUGUAGCAGUGAAAUGCGUAGAUAUCGAGAGGAACACUCGUGGCGAAGGCGGGUUCCUGGACAUUAACUGACGCUGAGGCACGAAGGCCAGGGGAGCGAAAGGGAUUAGAUACCCCUGUAGUCCUGGCAGUAAACGGUGCACGCUUGGUGUGCGGGGAAUCGACCCCCUGCGUGCCGGAGCUAACGCGUUAAGCGUG
rnacentral:rRNA from 1 species